rnacentral:tRNA from 1 species
AAGAAGUUAGUUAAAUCAUAACAUUAGUAUGUCAUACUAAAAUUAUUAAAUUAUAAUACAUCUUU